rnacentral:lncRNA from 1 species
AUCUUAUGUAUGUAAAUUAGAUUAAAUUAUUUAAUCUAAUACUUUCGAUACAUAAAAUUUUUAAAAUUGCAUGCAUUGUACUGCCUAUGUUUUCUUCAGCUCUAAUACUAGUGGAGACAAAAUCCUAACCACAGUCGAAUCUUGGAAUGCAAGUAGUGCCCUAACACCAAUCAGGGUAAAAUCCUAGCUGUGGCUAGGAUCAAACAUAAAUGGUCCUAUCCGGUCA